GUGACAGCUGUACACUUUGAAAGGACUAAUACCACUGAAUGUACACUUAAAAGUGGCUGAACUGAACCCACAUCAUCAUGGAAAUGAGCCAUGUGGAGUGGAUGGACUGUCAUUUUGCUGACUCUCUCCUAUGACUUCUGCUUACUCUGCUUCCCAAACUGCCAUGCAUAUUCAUCACCUUUAUUGACACCCCACUAGAUUGACUUGCCCUUUAAGUGUCAUUACUAAGAGCCCCCAAACAAAGGUGUCUUACCGGAC